GUUUCCUUCCUCCCAGCUGGAAAGGUCCCAAAGUGUUCUCCCGUGUUCAUAGAAAAGUUGGCACGAGGCUCAGGGUCUCCAAAUUAAAGAGUGUCUGGAGCCCAAGAGGACAAAUGGGUCCGAUGAAUCCCAUGUGGUAUUUGUGCUGAUUAAGCAGAGUUUGGGGAUCCUGCCCCUCCCAGUGACCUCGACACUCACCCUGGAACAGUAGUAAUGAAAAGGAAAAUAGCAAACAGUGAGUUCCACAUCCUCUGCCCCUGGGGGAAAAAACUACCUCUUGGGGCCUCAGGAGGAAACGGUAGUUUCCUGGGCCUCGCUUUCCACCCAGAGUG